ACAAAAACACAUACGAGAAUACAAAGCGCAUCACAUUACAGUUAAACAAUGUUUUUUUUAACCUUUUAGUCAUUUGCGUACCCAUUUGACCUCAUAAAAAUCAACGAAAUUACCUGAUAAUUGAAAUGAACAAAUACAAUCGUUUUGAACAAAUUGAAUAUUUUACUUUCGUACAUCUCUAGACUUUAUUAUCGAGAGCUUGGCCGGUGGGUUUGUGGUAGAGGGGGUUGAGAAACUCUGCACCUUACCAAUAUAAUAAUUACUCGCGAAAUAAUUUAGCAGUGACUAUAGUUCAUCUUUAUCGCAGCACAAACGAGAUAAUAAAUCAUUACGUCAAAACUAACCUAACCGUGAUAAAUGGCUAUGUGUGCGGGCGGGUAACGGUCGGAAAGGUCGGAUUAGGUUU